rnacentral:lncRNA from 1 species
CUUGAAGAAACCUGAACAUGCGCCGAACAUUCUCGGUCCAUGUCCCACAACUUCCACCCUAUCCAUCUUUCUAUCUAUCUAUCUAACUGUUUGUCCCUCUCUCUCUCUGUCUCUCUCUAUAUAUAUAUAUAGACACACACACACACACAUAUCCAUACACACACAGUAGAAGUUCAAAAGUGAGAAAGAAUGUCUAUACUGAUGAUUUGUAAUGGAGAGGAAACAGAGAUUGGGAGGCAACUGGCAGGUGGGGCAUGCCCUUAUUGUGGAGGGAAAGUGCAUUCAGUAGAUGUAAGAAGACAAUGGAAAUUUUGCUUUAUGCCCAUAUGCUUCAAAUUCAAGAGAAAAUAUUUCUGCACUUACUGUUCAAGGCGUUUGGUUUUGUACUUUUCAUAAACAUCGCAUCGAUUUUUACACCGGUGAUGUCUAGAGUGGCGUGUACAGAAGCGUGAUAUGACAGUUUUAUGGCCACGGAAUCGACCUAAAUACGACAUUUUAAGGCGAUAUAGAAGAUAUUUACCUGGGACAUGUUCGAGUAAGUCGAGUUAUUUGAAUGGAAUUGUAAUAAAGUGUGUGUUUGCGCUUUUGUAAAUUGGGAUUGCCAAGAGAAUGUGUGCGACUUGUCGUACGUCAUUUUGCCCAUCAAGAAUUCAUGUUGAGCACGAGUGUGAGAUUUGAUGAACAAAUUUAUGAUACGAAGUUGUUCGUGUGCAUUAAUUUAGUGUAAACAUAUGUAAAUUUAUUAAGUUGGAUAAUCUUUUUUAAGUGUAUCAACCAUUAUCAUUUUUC